rnacentral:rRNA from 1 species
ACUCCUACGGGAGGCAGCAGUAGGGAAUCUUCCACAAUGGGCGAAAGCCUGAUGGAGCAACGCCGCGUGGGUGAAGAAGGUCUUCGGAUCGUAAAACCCUGUUGUUAGAGAAGAAAGUGCGUGAGAGUAACUGUUCACGCUUCGACGGUAUCUAACCAGAAAGCCACGGCUAACUACGUGCCAGCAGCCGCGGUAAUACGUAGGUGGCAAGCGUUAUCCGGAUUUAUUGGGCGUAAAGGGAACGCAGGCGGUCUUUUAAGUCUGAUGUGAAAGCCUUCGGCUUAACCGGAGUAGUGCAUUGGAAACUGGGAGACUUGAGUGCAGAAGAGGAGAGUGGAACUCCAUGUGUAGCGGUGAAAUGCGUAGAUAUAUGGAAGAACACCAGUGGCGAAAGCGGCUCUCUGGUCUGUAACUGACGCUGAGGUUCGAAAGCGUGGGUAGCAAACAGGAUUAGAUACCCUGGUAGGAUAGCG